CAGCAAGUCCUAGGCUCUGUGGUUUAACCCACAGCGCCACCCACUUCUAAACUUGUGCUUGGAGACUCAUUUUUAAACCCUGCAAAGGAGGCUACUUUAGGAAAGCUACUUCAAGAUAGGGCAAUUCCUGCCUGUCCUUUCUCCAUUCCCCAUCUGUUCCAGUUCUUGCUCCCCCACUUCUAAAACGUGUUUAUUUACACAUUUGGAACCCCUGGAGAGAAAGGCACAUGGAGAAAGCUGCUUGAGAGGGAGCAAUUUUAAGGCAGGAGGAAGGGGUACAUAACCCUUUCCCCACCUGUCAUGUCUUCAUUCCCCCCCCCCCAUAUUUUCCUGGUCCUGUCCUCCAUUUUCAUGUAUGUUUAAAUACACGUUUUGAACCCCUUUAGCUCAACCCACUUCCGGAAAACAGCUUUCAGGGAGGUCAUUUCUUCCACUUCCUGAUCUCCCACUCCUAAACUUUGGUUAAAUACACAUUUAGAACCUCUGCAGGGGUAGCAGAUGCUUUGGGGAAGGGGUGAUCCAGAGCGAUUCCACAGCAGGGAGAGAAGCGGGUUACACACUCCCCCCUCUCCUAUGUCAUUUGCUGUUUAAGAGUCCUUUACCAAUCCUAUUUAUUAGGGGGGGGGAGCAGCAAGGUCACUUAGGUUGCAAACCUACCCUGCACUUUCCUGCAAAUAAAGCUUCAUUGUUUACUUCUGAGUAGACCAUGAUCAAACCAGUUGGGACCUUCAGACCCAAGCAAGAAUUUGAGAACCUGGAGUCUCCGAUCCAAUAAAAAUCCAACACUCUUCUUUGAGUCCCCCCCCCCACCCCGUCUCCCUCUUUCCUCUCUCCUCUGCUCCAGAAAAAGUGGAAAGUAAUUCCUCCAGAAAGUAGGAGUAUUGCAUGAAACACCCCCCAUAGUGGUAAUGGGGAGAGGAUUAGCCCGCUUUGGGGAAUGAAAAGUCAACUGUUGACUCCACCCCCCCCAUAAAAAAUAAUCUGGAUCUCUUUCGCAAACUUGAGUUGUGUGAUAACCCCCCUUCCUUCCUGUAUGGAGUUGGCGGGAGGGGUUUUUCUCUGUGUGUGUGUGUGGGGGGGGUAUUGGCUCAGCGCCCUUCAUUGUCUUUGCAAAACAACACCCCCAUUUUAUUUCCUUUCUCUCCCUAUUCCCAGGGCUUGCAUGCACUUUCUGCAUCUCCCCCUCCCUCCAACACACACCUAUUUUUCUGUGCCCCCCCCCACAGCGCCUUCAAUAAUUAAUCGCCUGGAUAAAUAAUAGAUGCCGUGUUUGCUUGGGUGUUUUCUAUUCCACCCCCCCCCGCGUUUCUCCACCCGCUAUUUAUUUAGGCUUGCAAGCCCUUCCUGCGGAGCCAACCCCGUUACAAAGCAACAACCCCUUUACUUCCGAGUAGACUUACUUCACUUGCGCGCGCACACACACACACACACACACACACACACACAGCAUGCAGACAGACGCAUAUAUAAUAUUCUUUGCAGCCUCCUUCAUUAAGGGUAGCAAUGGUAUUUUAUUUUUGCAGGGGUAGGGGGAGGUUUAAGGAGGGCGGGGGGUGGAGGGAGAAGGAAAAGUGCAGCUGAAAAGCAUUCCGGGGAGAUAAAGGGCUGGUUUGAUGUGCGUUCAUGUGGAGGAGCCUUUUCUCCCCUCCCUCCCGCUUCUCUUCUUCCCCUUCCCGGAGAGAAGGUUGGCGCCAGUAGUCUGGAACUAGGCUGACAAGCUUUUGAGUUAUAGAAAAAACGGAGGAGGGGGGGUGGAAGGAGACGGAGGACGAGAAGGGGGAGAGAGGCAGGCAGGCAGGCAGCUGGUGUGUGGAUUACUUCAAGGGAGAGAGCAGGAAUAAACACAAACACACUCGCAGAGCUAGGGACGCGAAGGGAGAGAUUUAAACUUUCCUGAUGGGGGAAUCCAACAAAUGAAAGAACACCAGCACGACCACCAUGUUUUUCACAGAGCAGACCCUGGGAACUGCAGAUGGUUGAGGGUGCUGGAAUGGUAGCCCUCUCUCUUGAGGCGCAAACUGCAGUCCCCAGGAUUUUGGGGAGCAGGAAUGUGCUUUAAAGGUUAAUUUCAGCUCAGUCCACCUGGAAGAAUGAUCUGUGGGUGGCUGGUUCAAGACCUGUUGGUACUCAAGGCAGAAAAUUCAAAUGGCGGUUUCCUCCCUGCACAGAAAUUAACAGGUGGUAUGAUCCACCAGGAAGUUAUCCUGCACAGCACGUGUGAUGAAGCAGAGAUAGGCAGGAAUGAUGGGCUGCCACUAAUUUUGCAAUGGGUACCAUGCUAUCCCUGUAUCCCCACUGCCGCUUUUAUUUUUAUCCUUACCUGAAGGUUUGUUGCCCAUCAAAAGAAUCAGGCACAGUAUAAGACAGGAUCGGGGCAGGUUAUGGAGAGGGGGCCCAGUGGCAGUUUUGCUUCUCAUUUUUCUUUUCUUAAAUUCUGUUCUCCACAUUUCCAUGUCAGUUUGCAAUUUUUCUCUAAGCCCAUGUGAAAAUUUUUCAGCAUUUCAGUGUGAAUUUCUCCUAACAUAAAGAUCUUUGUAUGGCGUUUUUGCCUAAUAGGCACAUUUCCCCCUCAAUGCUGAUUUUCCAUAAGAAGAGCGUAAGAAGAGCGCUUCUGAAUCAGGCCAAAGGCCCUUCUAGCCCAGCAUCCUGUUCUCACAGUGGCCAGUCAGAAGCAUCUUCUGGGAAUUCAGGGAGUUCAAGGCUACCAAUGGCUGCUCACCAGGAUGGCUAUGCUUUGCCUCCACAGCUGGAGGCAGCAGCACUUCUGAAUACCAUUUGCUGAAAAC